ensembl:snoRNA SNORD116 Small nucleolar RNA SNORD116
GAAUCAAUAAUGAUUCCUAUAUAAGCAUUCCUUGGAAAGCUGAACAAAAUUGGUGAAAACUCACUACUUUUAUCCUCCUCAUGACUAAGUUC